GCUGUCGGGAGUUAGGAAGUGCAAGGAUGUUAAUAGCGUUCUUGCUUGACUAAGGCUCCGGAGGAAGCCACGGCUAACUCUGUGCCAGCAGCCGCGGUAAUACAGAGGCGGCAAGCGUUGUUCGGAAUUAUUGGGCGUAAAGAGCACGUAGGCGGCUGUGUAAGUCGGUUGUGAAAGCCUUCCGCUUAACGGAAGAACGGCAUCCGAUACUGCAUAGCUUGAGUGCGGGAGGGGAGAGUGGAACUUCUGGUGGAGCGGUGAAAUGCGUAGAUAUCAGAAGGAACACCGGCGGCGAAGGCGACUCUCUGGUCCGUAACUGACGCUGAGUGUGCGAAAGCUAGGGGAGCAAACGGGAUUAGAUACCCCGGUAGUCCUAGCCGUAAACGAUGGGCACUAAGUAGAGGGA
rnacentral:rRNA from 1 species